AUAUCAAUAAGCUGAGGAAAAGAAACCAACAGGGAUUGCCUCAGUAACGGCGAGUGAAGCGGCAACAGCUCAAAUUUGAAAUCUGGCCUCUUGGGGUCCGAGUUGUAAUUUGUAGAGGAUGUUUCGGGUACCGCCUCGGUUUAAAUUUCUUGGAACAGAAUGUCAAAGAGGGUGAGAAUCCCGUCUUGGACCGGCGGUAGGGCCUAUGUGAAACUCCUUCGACGAGUCGAGUUGUUUGGGAAUGCAGCUCAAAAUGGGUGGUAAAUUUCAUCUAAAGCUAAAUAUUGGCCAGAGACCGAUAGCGCACAAGUAGAGUGAUCGAAAGAUGAAAAGCACUUUGAAAAGAGAGUUAAACAGUAUGUGAAAUUGUUGAAAGGGAAGCGCUUGCAACCAGACUUGAGCGCGGCGGUUCCCCCUUGCUUCUGCUUGGGUUACUCCGCCGUGUCCAGGCCAACAUCGGUUCUGGGGGUCGGUCAAAGGCUCUGGGAAUGUAUCUACCCACGGGUAGACUUAUAGACCAGGGUGUCAUGCGACCUCCCGGGACCGAGGAACGCGCUUCGGCUCGGAUGUUGGCGUAAUGGUUGUCAGCGACCCGUCUUG
rnacentral:rRNA from 1 species